rnacentral:rRNA from 1 species
UACGGAAGGCAGCAGUGGGGAAUAUUGGACAAUGGGCGCAAGCCUGAUCCAGCCAUGCCGCGUGUGUGAAGAAGGCCUUCGGGUUGUAAGCACUUUGUCCGGAAGAAAGCUUAGGGUUAAUAACCUUGAGUCAUGACGGUACCGGAAGAAUAAGCACCGGCUAACUUCGUGCCAGCAGCCGCGGUAAUACGAAGGGUGCAAGCGUUACUCGGAAUUACUGGGCGUAAAGCGUGCGUAGGUGGUUUGUUAAGUCUGAUGUGAAAGCCCUGGGCUCAACCUGGGAAUGGCAUUGGAAACUGGCUUACUAGAGUGCGGUAGAGGGGUGUGGAAUUCCCGGUGUAGCAGUGAAAUGCGUAGAUAUCGGGAGGAACAUCUGUGGCGAAGGCGACACCCUGGGACCAGCACUGACACUGAGGCACGAAAGCGUGGGGAGCAAACAGGGAUUAGAUACC